rnacentral:rRNA from 1 species
UACGGAGGGUGCAAGCGUUAUCCGGAUUCACUGGGUUUAAAGGGUGCGUAGGUGGGCAGGUAAGUCAGUGGUGAAAUCUCCGGGCUUAACUCGGAAACUGCCAUUGAUACUAUCUGUCUUGAAUACCGUGGAGGUCAGCGGAAUAUGUCAUGUAGCGGUGAAAUGCUUAGAUAUGACAUAGAACACCAAUUGCGAAGGCAGCUGACUACGCGAAUAUUGACACUGAUGCACGAAAGCGUGGGGAUCAAACAGG